rnacentral:rRNA from 1 species
UACGAAGGGUGCAAGCGUUACUCGGAAUUACUGGGCGUAAAGCGUGCGUAGGUGGUUUGUUAAGUCUGAUGUGAAAGCCCUGGGCUCAACCUGGGAAUUGCAUUGGAUACUGGCAGGCUAGAGUGCGGUAGAGGAUGGCGGAAUUCCCGGUGUAGCAGUGAAAUGCGUAGAGAUCGGGAGGAACAUCUGUGGCGAAGGCGGCCAUCUGGACCAGCACUGACACUGAGGCACGAAAGCGUGGGGAGCGAUCCGG